CCUACGGGUGGCAGCAGUGAGGAAUAUUGGUCAAUGGGCGCGAGCCUGAACCAGCCACGUCGCGUGAGGGAUGACGGUCCUACGGAUUGUAAACCUCUUUUGCCGGGGAGCAAGCGUGCGUUCGUGAACGCGCGUCGAGAGUACCCGGUGAAAAAGCAUCGGCUAACUCCGUGCCAGCAGCCGCGGUAAUACCGAGGAUGUGAGCUUUAUCCGGAUUUAUUGGGGUUAAAGGGUGCGUAGGGGGGAUACUAAGUCAACGUGAAAAAUGCGGUGCUCAACGCCGUCGAGCAGUUGAAACUGGCGUUCUUGAGUGGGCGAGAAGUAUGCGGAAUGCGUGGUGUAGCGGUGAAAUGCAUAGAUAUCACGCAGAACUCCGAUGGCGAAGGCAGCAUACCGGAGCCCUACUGACGCUGAGGCACGAAAGCGUGGGGAGCGAACAGGAUUAGAUACCCUUGUAGUC
rnacentral:rRNA from 1 species